GCAGUAGCCACGGGAAUACAGAGGGUGCGAGCGUUAAUCGGAUUUACUGGGCGUAAAGCGUGCGUAGGCGGCUUUUUAAGUCGGAUGUGAAAUCCCUGAGCUUAACUUAGGAAUUGCAUUCGAUACUGGGAAGCUAGAGUAUGGGAGAGGAUGGUAGAAUUCCAGGUGUAGCGGUGAAAUGCGUAGAGAUCUGGAGGAAUACCGAUGGCGAAGGCAGCCAUCUGGCCUAAUACUGACGCUGAGGUACGAAAGCAUGGGGAGCAAACAGGAUUAGAUACCCCCGUAGUCCCUGUCUCUUAUAC
rnacentral:rRNA from 1 species